rnacentral:rRNA from 1 species
UACAGAGGUCCCAAGCGUUGUUCGGAUUCAUUGGGCGUAAAGGGUGCGUAGGCGGCGCGGUAAGUCGGGUGUGAAAUCUCGGGGCUUAACUCCGAAACUGCAUUCGAUACUGCCGUGCUUGAGGACUGGAGAGGAGACUGGAAUUUACGGUGUAGCGGUGAAAUGCGUAGAUAUCGUAAGGAAGACCAGUGGCGAAGGCGGGUUGCUGGGCUGAUACUGACGCUGAUGCGCGAAAGCCAGGGGAGCGAACGGG